rnacentral:rRNA from 1 species
UCGGUCUAUAGAACAGUUGAAGACAAAGUGGCGAACGGGUGCGUAACGCGUGGGAAUCUGCCAAACAGUUUGGGCCGAAUCCCAAAGAAACGAAAGCAAAAAAGCUUCGAUAAAGCUAAAAAGCGCUGUUUGAUGAGCCUGCGUAGUAUUAGGUAGCUGGUUGGGUAAAGGCUGACCAAGCCGCAGAUGCUUAGCUGAUCUUUUCGGACGAUCAGCCACACUGGGACUGAGACACGGCCCAG